GAUGAACGCUGGCGGUGUGCCUAAUACAUGCAAGUCGAGCGAACAGACGAGGAGCUUGCUCCUCUGACGUUAGCGGCGGACGGGUGAGUAACACGUGGAUAACCUACCUAUAAGACUGGGAUAACUUCGGGAAACCGGAGCUAAUACCGGAUAAUAUAUUGAACCGCAUGGUUCAAUAGUGAAAGACGGUUUUGCUGUCACUUAUAGAUGGAUCCGCGCCGCAUUAGCUAGUUGGUAAGGUAACGGCUUACCAAGGCAACGAUGCGUAGCCGACCUGAGAGGGUGAUCGGCCACACUGGAACUGAGACACGGUCCAGACUCCUACGGGAGGCAGCAGUAGGGAAUCUUCCGCAAUGGGCGAAAGCCUGACGGAGCAACGCCGCGUGAGUGAUGAAGGUCUUCGGAUCGUAAAACUCUGUUAUUAGGGAAGAACAAAUGUGUAAGUAACUAUGCACGUAUUGACGGUACCUAGUCAGAAAGCCACGGCUAACUACGUG
rnacentral:rRNA from 1 species